AGAGUUUGAUCCUGGCUCAGAUUGAACGCUGGCGGCAUGCCUUACACAUGCAAGUCGAACGGUAACGCGGGGGCAACCCUGGCGACGAGUGGCGAACGGGUGAGUAAUACAUCGGAACAUAUCCAGUAGCGGGGGAUAACCUAUCGAAAGAUGGACUAAUACCGCAUACGAUCUACGGAUGAAAGCAGGGGACCGCAAGGCCUUGCACUAUUGGAGUGGCCGAUGUCGGAUUAGCUAGUUGGUGGGGUAAAAGCUUACCAAGGCGACGAUCCGUAGCUGGUCUGAGAGGACGAUCAGCCACACUGGAACUGAGACACGGUCCAGACUCCUACGGGAGGCAGCAGUGGGGAAUUUUGGACAAUGGGCGCAAGCCUGAUCCAGCCAUGCCGCGUGAGUGAAGAAGGCCUUCGGGUUGUAAAGCUCUUUCGGUGAAGACGAAACGGUUCAUGCUAAUAACGUGAACUAAUGACGGUACUCACAGAAGAAGCACCGGCUAACUACGUGCCAGCAGCCGCGGUAAUACGUAGGGUGCAGGCGUUAAUCGGAAUUACUGGGCGUAAAGCGUGCGCAGGCGGUUUGCUAAGACAGGUGUGAAAUCCCCGGGCUUAACCUGGGAAUUGCGCUUGUAACUGGCAAGCUAGAGUGUGGCAGAGGGGGGUGGAAUUCCACGUGUAGCAGUGAAAUGCGUAGAUAUGUGGAGGAACACCGAUGGCGAAGGCAGCCCCCUGGGUUAACACUGACGCUCAUGCACGAAAGCGUGGGGAGCAAACAGGAUUAGAUACCCUGGUAGUCCACGCCCUAAACUAUGUCAACUAGUUGUCGGGGAAGAAAUUCCUUGGUAACGAAGCUAACGCGUGAAGUUGACCGCCUGGGGAGUACGGCCGCAAGGUUAAAACUCAAAGGAAUUGACGGGGACCCGCACAAGCGGUGGAUUAUGUGGAUUAAUUCGAUGCAACGCGAAAAACCUUACCUACCCUUGACAUGCUAGGAAGCCCGCAGAGAUGUGGGUGUGCCCGAAAGGGAACCUAGACACAGGUGCUGCAUGGCUGUCGUCAGCUCGUGUCGUGAGAUGUUGGGUUAAGUCCCGCAACGAGCGCAACCCUUGCCAUUAGUUGCUACAUUCAGUUGGGCACUCUAAUGGGACCGCCGGUGACAAACCGGAGGAAGGUGGGGAUGGCGUCAAGUCCUCAUGGCCCUUAUGGGUAGGGCUUCACACGUAAUACAAUGGUCGGUACAGAGGGCUGCCAACCCGCAAGGGGGAGCUAAUCCCAGAAAGCCGAUCGUAGUCCGGAUUGUAGUCUGCAACUCGACUGCAUGAAGCCGGAAUCCUAUUAAUCGCGGAUCAGCAUGUCGCGGUGAAUACGUUCCCGGGUCUUGUACACACCGCCCGUCACACCAUGGGAGUGGGUUCCACCAGAAGUAGUUAGCCUAACCGCAAAGAGGGCGAUUACCACGGUGAGAUUCAUGACUGGGGUGAAGUCGUAACAAGGUAGCCGUAUCGGAAGGUGCGGCUG
rnacentral:rRNA from 1 species